CCAUCUUUGCUUCUUGCAUGUAACUGCUCCGCUGUUGAUCAAGCAGAAUGGCGCCACGUGGUACCCUUUAAACUGGCUCUGUUCACAAUGCAGGGAUUGUGUUCCAGAAAUUGCCCCAAAGAAAUUGUGAUCCAUGGCUGACCAGAGCGAUAGGAACCCGACCGCUGGAUGACGGAGAGGAAAGCAGACGGAACUGAACUGGAGUGCUACUGAAACACAAGAACGGGAACAACUGUAUAUGAUAUUGAAGAUAUGUUCUGCUAUAUAUCUCAAUGGCGAAACAGAAAGCAACUACCUUCGGGAGGAACCCUGUAGAAUACAUUGUAGGGAACAUUCGUUCUACUUUAGCCCAUCAUACUGGGGUCUUCCAGAGGAUGUGCUUAACAAACGCUGCAGUUGUGGAUUUGAGAGGAGCUCCAAUAAAGAAGGCCAGCAACCAAUACUUCAGUAACUGCAAAGAACUCGGGCAUGCCAAUAAUGCUUGUCCGGUUCCACACAGGCCCCCAGGUAUUGAGAGUCCACAGGGGUAACAUUCUGCCCAGCCACACAGGUCAACCCUCCAACAUCCAAACGUGCUUGUCCCCAUUCGUUCCUUCUGACGGCCAAGCGUUAUCCAAACAUCACGCAUUCAUGGGAGUGGACUUAUGGCCAAAAGGUGGCCAAUACACUGCAGACGAUGUGGCCAAAUAGGAUACAACCGCUGCACCUGC